ensembl:rRNA 5S_rRNA 5S ribosomal RNA
GCUUACGGCCAUACCACCCUGAGAACGCCCGAUCUCGUCUGAUUUCGGAAGCUAAACAGGGUCGGGCCUGGUUAGUACUUGGAUGGGAGACCGCCUGGGAAUACCAGCUGCUGUAAGCU